rnacentral:sRNA from 1 species
UGACCAUUCUAUAUUGUUGUGUAGAAUCGAGGCCAUACGGACAGCCGGGUCAAAUGCCGA